rnacentral:snRNA from 1 species
AUACUUACCUGGCAGGGGAGAUACCAUGAUCACAAAGGUGGUUUUCCCAGGGCGAGGCUUACCCAUUGCACUCCGAUGUGCUGACCCCUGCGAUUUCCCCAAAUGUGGGAAACUCGACUGCAUAAUUUGUGGUAGUGGAGACUGUGUUCACGCUGUCCCCUG